ensembl:rRNA 5S_rRNA 5S ribosomal RNA
GCUUAAGGCCAUACCACCUUAGGCACGCCCGAUCUCGUCUGAUCUCGGAAGCUAAGCAGGGUCGGGCCUGGUCAGUACUUGGAUGGGUGACCGCCUGGGAAUAGCAGGUGCUGUAAGCA